AGAGACAUAUGUGAAUACUAAAAAAAAGAGUAAAAAUCAAGAUAAUUUAACAUUCAAAAGCACAAGCACAAAUGCUAGGUCCAGCAAGUUGAGGUGCACAAGUUGCUCCAGAUCCACCUCCUAUUAUAUGCUUGCAAGCAUCUAAGCAGUCUGGUUCUGGGUCAUCAUUCUUGCAAAAUAUCUCAUUCAACACUUUGAAGCAUGUUUUGGCUUCAACUCGUCCUACUUUCACUACAUUUUCAUCAACUGCAUGUGAUAAGAAAUAAAUAAAGAAUGUAAUUAGUCAAAUUAAUUCUUGAUAGGGAUUGGCUUGUAUUAUCUAGCAUAAACAAAAAAAAGGGCAGUCAGGUGCACAAAGCAUUUCAUAUGUACGCAAGGAAAAGACCACAAUUUAAGGGUGUGACGUAGACAGCCUAUCCUAAUGAAAAAGUUAGUGACUACUUCCACAGUUCAAAACUGUGACCUAUACAUCACAGGGAAAUAACUAAAUUCUCCAAAAUUCAUAAACGAACAAUAACAAAUUUUGGUGCUCAAACAAUAUUGCACAACUAAAAAUCUCGAAAUACAAUUAAAAGAGAAGUGUAUAUUACCAAGGACGAGGGAAACCAAAACAAGAACACAACAUAAGGAUGCUAAAGACUUUGCC
rnacentral:lncRNA from 1 species